UACGUAGGACGCAAGCGUUAUCCGGAUUUAUUGGGUUUAAAGGGUGCGUAGGCGGACCCAUAAGUCAGCGGUGAAAGACUGUCGCUUAACGAUAGCAUUGCCGUUGAUACUGUGGGUCUUGAGUAUAGUUGAGGUAGGCGGAAUGUGUAGUGUAGCGGUGAAAUGCUUAGAUAUUACACAGAACACCGAUUGCGAAGGCAGCUUACUAAGCUAUAACUGACGCUGAGGCACGAAAGCGUGGGGAUCAAACAGG
rnacentral:rRNA from 1 species